rnacentral:misc_RNA from 1 species
UCCGGCUUGUCGCCGGCGGUCCCUUUAGAGUGCCCAACUUAAUGAUGGCAACUAAAGGAGAGGGUUGCGCUCGUUGCGGGACUUAACCCAACAUCUCACGACACGAGCUGACGACAGCCAUGCAGCACCUGUAUGAAAGUCAGUACCAUCCCGUUAAGGACUGGUUUUGUUGUUCAUAUGUCAAGGGCUGGUAAGGUUUUGCGCGUUGUAUCGAAUUAAACCACACGCUCCGCUGCUUGUGCGGGCCCCGUCAAUUCCUUUGAGUUUUACCGUUGCCGGCGUACUCCCCAGGUGGAUUACUUAUCGCUUUUGCUAAGCCACUGAAGGUUGCCCUCCAGCAGCGAGUAAUCAUCGUUUACAGUGCGGACUAC